AACGCACAUUGCGCCCAUUGGUAUUCCGAUGGGCAUGCCUGUUCGAGCGUCAUUAUCAACCCUCAAGCCUCCGGCUUGGUGUUGGAGGUCUGGCGGUCCCUGCGGAUCGCCCCUCCCAAAUACAACGACGGCGGCGGCGAGCGUCCCCGGUACACUGAGCUUUUCACCGAGCACGUACUGGAUGGGCCUCGACGUCCCGGUCUGCCUCCCCUCCGGGAGAAUUUUUCUCAAGGUUGACCUCGGAUCAGGUAGGGAUACCCGCUGAACUUAA
rnacentral:misc_RNA from 1 species